UACAAAAGGUGCAAGUGUUAUUCAGAACGAUUGGGCAUAAAGGGUGCGUAGGCUGUUAAUGCUAGAUAGUAUAAAAAAACUUUAAAAAAAAAAUAAAGUCACAGUAUUAAACAUUGGCUUGACUUGAGUUAUAUUGAGUUAUGAGUAAUGUUUGUUGUGAACGGUAAAAUGUAGUGAUAAUGGGUGGAGCGCCAAAAUGAAAAUUUCAAUUUAAAAUAUAACUGACGCUGAGGCGCGUGUGUACGGGGAUCAAACAGG
rnacentral:rRNA from 1 species